AUUGUGAAUAAUUAUUUGAAUAUUUCCCCUGUAAUCUUCGUCAAUCACGCCACCUACAGAAUUGUAAGAGAACUUUGUUCAAGAAAUUCAUUACAAUAAUUUAAAAGAUACUUUAGUUAGAUAGGUACCUACCUCCAAUAUCAAUAAAGUGAUUUAGUGCCAAACUAGAUCUUGGAGCUAUUCUACCAUAGCAGUUGUUAGGCAUUUGAAGUUGUAAAUCUGUUUUAAUUAAUUCCCUUCCUUUUGCAGGAACAAUAUAAUCAUAUGCACUAAAUUAAAAAAAAAACAUUGAAAAAAUAAAUCAGUAGGUACUUUAAAAAAGAAGAAAGGGAUAUGAAUAAAAAAUUUUAAAAAUAGGUAUAUUGGAAAAAAUCAGCAAGACUUGAAAAAAUAAGUGUGUAGGUUUAAAUAAAGAAUUGAAAAAAAAAAGAAGAAAUAAAUAUAGUAGAAGAAAAAAAAUUACAUACCUCUUCAAAUCAUAACCAGCUGAUUUUAAAGUUGCUUUUGUUGGAACAAAUGCGUUUUCUGACAUCUUUACAAAUUUUAAUACAUUAGCCAUGGUAUGAAAAAAAUAUUACACAACUUUUUUCAAAAAUACCUGAUCACAAUUGAAAUGUUCGAAAUUUAUAUAAAUUCACUUCAAAUUAAACACACUGAACUGUCUAAAAUACAGAUACUGGUAUAGGUAGGUACUGUGUAUUUGCAAGGCUUUAUAUACUAGAAAUCUUCAGUCAACUUUACAUGACCUCAAAUUUUCCCCAGAAAAUUAUUUCAUUAAAUCCAGUAAAAAUUACGAUGAAACAGAUUUUCGUAAGUUUAUUUACUCAACUUUCAUAACCUUACUUACAUACUUUCAAUGAUGCAAUUUUUAUGAUGUGGGUAUUAUAGGUGAUCAUCAAACUAAAGAAAACCAAGUCUUAAAACAGGUUCAGAAUAGACUUACAUUUUUUUAUUAUGUUGCACUCUCGGAUCUUGCAUUUUUUGUGCAUUCUACAUACCUAUAUCUUAACAGUGUUUAGAAGGUUGUUAUAGUUACCUACCUUGAUUAUUUUGUUUUGCUAUAAAUUAGGCAAGAACAGUAUUACACAAAGUGAAUCAACAGACAUGAAAUAUAAAUAGGUACCUUACACAAAAUUUAUGAGAAAAAAAAAUCCGUUCAUUUUAGUAGGGAGAACGACUACAAUUUAUAAUAUAAAUACGAGAAUGAACUGCAUAGUAAAAUUAAUUUCUGUGUUGUUGUUAGUUUGGUGGUGUUUGUAUAGUAAUUUCGUGAUACCUAUCUUAUUAUUUUCAUUUUUCAUCAUGUCUUCUCUAGAUAUAACUGAAAUUUUCAACACUUUUUUAACAAGAAUUUUUGAUGGUGAACUUUAUAUAAAAAAGUUGAUUUUAAGGAAGCCAUUUACUCGUACAGAAUUCCAGGAAAUACUAGAGAAAUUUAAGGACCUAAAAAUGAAGGAACUCAUUCCAUUUGAGAUGGAGUCUGCAGUUGAAGGUUGUUUGGAAACUCUGAGAAAAGAGAUGAUAGAGGAGGAACGGAGAAUUGUAAUUCAACAAUUUGAAGAUUCUAUUAAGCGAGCUGUGGAGUCUGCAAUGAAACUGGUCUACUCCCCACAUCCAGAGGUACCAUCAUAUUCAAUAUGAUUUUUAAAAAAUUAUUUCAUCAUUGAUUUUUCAAUAUUACAAGUACAUUUUAUUCAUAUGUAGGUACCUACUCAUUUUUUUCUUACUGUUACUAUUUUAUUCAUGGUGAAUUUGUAAUUAUGCACUAUACCUAAUGAAAAUAAAUUUUUUUAAAAACAA